rnacentral:rRNA from 1 species
UGCCUGGCGGCCGUAGCGCGGUGGUCCCACCUGACCCCAUGCCGAACUCAGAAGUGAAACGCCGUAGCGCCGAUGGUAGUGUGGGGUCUCCCCAUGUGAGAGUAGGGAACCGCCAGGUU